UUGCAAGAUUUAUGAUAUUUCAUCAGGCAUGCAAAGACACCAGUGAAAUUAAGAUGUUUGGUUUUAUUUAUCUUAUCUGAAUAUCUGCUGUCACGCAUAACAUUCAUUAUUUGACCGUAUUUCAAAGAUAAACAAAAUCCAGUUACAACUCCGAACCGCUAGAUGGCAGCAGUACACAAACACGGGGCCAAAUCUCACGAGAAAGAUUUCCGCUGUUUGAAAAGCAACAACAUCAGCGAGCAGCCACGAGGAAAGCAAUCUACCACACUCGUUUGGUCUUGUGUCAAAGCUGUGCGAAACUGGAGGGAGAAACUUGAGAGACCCCAGAUAGCCACUGGACACUGUAACGGAACAGGACCGCAACCGCAAAACGAUACAGCCGGACUCGUUCCUGGGUCCAAACGCACAACGGGCCGAAGCCGUUUCUGGUCUGUUAUUAGGGGUUGUUGCGGAUAUGUACCAGCGCCGAUCCAGCGCUGAUUCAGCACCGCCUGAUCAUCAGUAUCGGCUCAGAUUCGAAUUGCAGAUCUGGACCAAAUCAGUGUCAGACACAGCUAAUGUCUUUCGGUUAUCUUUGGGAAAAGUGAUCUGGGCCAGAUCUGUAAAAUGAUAUAAAUACUGAACUGAUGUUUAAGCUGAAACCUCUAUCUGGCACGGAUCUGGUUCACAAUCAGAAAACGUCUCUGAGAUAGAAACGGAGGCAAGGGGCUUAAAACGGAUCCGGGCCAAAUGUAAUUGCUAUCUGGGACCGUGCCGGAAGAAUGCUGGACAGAGUUCACUAAAAUUCAUUAAUUUCAAAGUUCAACAUGAAUGGUGGUGGUCCACUGCAGAAGCAAGCAUUUGAAAAAACAUCACUUCUCAGUUAUUAAAGAUGAUGUGUUGAACAACUUCCCAGAAGCAACAGAACUGGACGUGAAGGAUGCAAUGGGGGCAUUUCAAACAGUCACCAGGGAGCACGGGGGGGG